GACGAACGCUGGCGGCGUGCUUAACACAUGCAAGUGGUGCGACGAACCAGGCUUCGGCCUGGGGCAGAGCCGCGAACGGGUGAGUAACACGUGGGCAACCUGCCCUGUUGAUCGGGACAACCCGGGGAAACCCGGGCUAAUACCGAAUGUGGUGCCGGCUCAUGAGAGCCGUCACGAAAGGAAGCUUCGGCCUCCGCGAACGGAUGGGCCCGCGGCCCAUUAGCUUGUUGGUGGGGUAAUGGCCUACCAAGGCAACGAUGGGUAGCUGGUCUGAGAGGACGAUCAGCCACACUGGGACUGAGACACGGCCCAGACUCCUACGGGAGGCUGCAGUGGGGAAUCUUGCGCAAUGAGCGACAGCUUGACGCAGCAACGCCGCGUGGGGGAAGAAGGCUUUCGGGUCGUAAACCCCUUUCAGUUAGGACGAAGCUUUAUUGGUUAAUACCCUUGGGGGGAUGACGGUACCUGAAGAAUAAGCACCGGCUAACUACAUGCCAGCCGCCGCCGUAA
rnacentral:rRNA from 1 species